rnacentral:rRNA from 1 species
GAUGAACGCUAGCGGCAGGCUUAACACAUGCAAGUCGAGGGGUAUGGUUCUUCGGAACCAGAGACCGGCGCACGGGUGCGUAACGCGUAUGCAAUCUACCUUUUACAGAGGGAUAGCCCAGAGAAAUUUGGAUUAAUACCUCAUAGUAUAACAUGACCGCAUGGUCGAGUUAUUAAAGUCGCAACGGUAAAAGAUGAGCA